rnacentral:rRNA from 1 species
UACGGAGGGUCCAAGCGUUAUCCGGAAUCAUUGGGUUUAAAGGGUCCGUAGGCGGUUUAGUAAGUCAGUGGUGAAAGCCCAUCGCUCAACGGUGGAACGGCCAUUGAUACUGCUAAACUUGAAUUAUUGGGAAGUAACUAGAAUAUGUAGUGUAGCGGUGAAAUGCUUAGAGAUUACAUGGAAUACCAAUUGCGAAGGCAGGUUACUACCAAUAUAUUGACGCUGAUGGACGAAAGCGUGGGGAGCGAACAAG